ACCUACGGGAGGCAGCAGUAGGGAAUUUUCGUCAAUGGGCGCAAGCCUGAACGAGCAGUGCCGCGUGAACGAGGAAGGUCUUCGGAUCGUAAAGUUCUGUUGAAGGGGAAAAAGAGCGGAGAGAGGAAAUGGUCUCCGAUUGAUAUUACCCUUCGAGGAAGUCACGGCUAACUACGUGCCAGCAGCCGCGGUAAUACGUAGGUGGCGAGCGUUAUCCGGAAUGAUUGGGCGUAAAGGGUGCGUAGGCGGCCUGCUAAGUCUGGAGUGAAAGGUACCGGCUCAACCGGUACAGGCUCUGGAAACUG
rnacentral:rRNA from 1 species